GAUGCAUGCUCCUAUAGUGCU
rnacentral:misc_RNA from 1 species